GAUGAACGCUGGCGGCGUGCCUAAUACAUGCAAGUCGAGCGAACAGACGAGGAGCUUGCUCCUCUGACGUUAGCGGCGGACGGGUGAGUAACACGUGGAUAACCUACCUAUAAGACUGGGAUAACUUCGGGAAACCGGAGCUAAUACCGGAUAAUAUAUUGAACCGCGUGGUUCAAUAGUGAAAGACGGUUUUGCUGUCACUUAUAGAUGGAUCCGCGCCGCAUUAGCUAGUUGAUAAGGUAACGGCUUACCAAGGCAACGAUGCGUAGCCGACCUGAGAGGGUGAUCGGCCACACUGGAACUGAGACACGGUCCAGACUCCUACGGGAGGCAGCAGUAGGGAAUCUUCCGCAAUGGGCGAAAGCUUGACGGAGCAACGCCGCGUGAGUGAUGAAGGUCUUCGGAUCGUAAAACUCUGUUAUUAGGGAAGAACAAAUGUGUAAGUAACUAUGCACGUCUUGACGGUACCUAAUCAGAAAGCCACGGCUAACUACGUG
rnacentral:rRNA from 1 species